rnacentral:rRNA from 1 species
AUUGAACGCUGGCGGCAGGCCUAACACAUGCAAGUCGAGCGGAUGAAGGGAGCUUGCUCCUGGAUUCAGCGGCGGACGGGUGAGUAAUGCCUAGGAAUCUGCCUGGUAGUGGGGGAUAACGUCCGGAAACGGGCGCUAAUACCGCAUACGUCCUGAGGGAGAAAGUGGGGGAUCUUCGGACCUCACGCUAUCAGAUGAGCCUAGGUCGGAUUAGCUAGUUGGUGGGGUAAAGGCCUACCAAGGCGACGAUCCGUAACUGGUCUGAGAGGAUGAUCAGUCACACUGGAACUGAGACACGGUCCAGACUCCUACGGGAGGCAGCAGUGGGGAAUAUUGGACAAUGGGCGAAAGCCUGAUCCAGCCAUGCCGCGUGUGUGAAGAAGGUCUUCGGAUUGUAAAGCACUUUAAGUUGGGAGGAAGGGCAGUAAGUUCAUACCUUGCUGUUUUGACGUUACCAACAGAAUAAGCACCGGCUAACUUCGUG